AAUUUUUUGAGGCUUGUUCCGGCAAGGCUA
rnacentral:misc_RNA from 1 species